GGUAACGUGGCCGAGCGGUUAAGGCUCCACGUUAGAGUUAGUCAAGACCUUGAUACCAAUCUCUUGGGGGAUCCCGUGGUCCGAAAGGGCGUGAGCUCGAAUCUCACCGUUAUCA